ACGCUCGACACCUACGGGAGCAGCAGNGGGGAAUAUUGCACAAUGGGGGAAACCCUGAUGCAGCGACGCCGCGUGAGUGAAGAAGUAUUUCGGUAUGUAAAGCUCUAUCAGCAGGGAAGAAGAUGACGGUACCUGAGUAAGAAGCCCCGGCUAACUACGUGCCAGCAGCCACGGUAAUCUGAGCGGGCUGGCAAGGC
rnacentral:rRNA from 1 species